CGGGAGAGCGCAUGAGCAACACAUGCUACCAGCAAGAGCGCACAUCACAGAGCACGAAGUUUGACCAACCCUGUCUCUUCUAACGAGAACGACGUGUUGUCACCCCUCAAGAACUCAGCAUGGCCAGCUGUAUCAGGGAAGUGCUAUUGGCUAUCCCCGCUGUGCAUACAGAACGGACAUCUAUUGCCUCAGUGUGUUGCCGGAGUCCAAGAGCGAUUUGAGUUGAGGAAAUCUGUGCUGGGUUCUGAUAUGGUAAUGAUGAUCUACACCAGUAAUCUGAGGAGCGACAAGGAGGAAACCUGUGGGAUUAACACUAAUAAAGCACUCAUGUCCCUGUCAAGUGCUACAGGGUGACCAAACUCCUGCUAUUAUCCACUUCAUAGCCCUUAUCAUCUCUCACUAUUGCUCUCAAUGCUUAUGUAUACAUAGGAACUGUGUUAUAGAGUAACCCUGCCUUACAGUAGCUUGCUAGCUCCUAACAUGAUGAAAAUGUCACGCUGUGGUGGGAUUCAAUUUUGAGUGCCAGUUCAGAUGUGGCCACACACUGCGUUUUGAAUGUCUAACAUCCUUUAUUCCUUCGAACAGAAGCUGGCAUCUCCGAAAAGGCCGUAGCUGCCAGCAGCUGCACGUACUGUUUCCAUCAGCCGUAUCUGCAUCUACAGUUAUUUGAAUGGAAGAGAACAGAGCCGUCGGUCAUGGAACUCUAACCUCGAUUGGGAAACAAACACAGGGUUUCGAUUUCCUGCUGAGAUCGCUCUUCAAAUAUUCAUCGUCCCUAUAUUCUGGAGCCAUUUGAUAAUUGACACUGGGACAGGUUUUAUGAUCUCCUCUCUUCAUCUGAGCGUGUGGAGUACCAUUACAGAUAGCCCUUUAACCUCUCAAACCGGACCUAUUAAACUUGCCUUUGUGUUGUGGCACAAUGCCUUCUUGGACUAGAAUCUGCUGACAGUUAGGAGAUAUUCUGUUAAACUCUCCCUUUCUUCUCUAAAUGUGUUUGGGCUGCUUUUCUUUGAGAAAUAUUAUUCAGAGAUGCUUGAGGAUUUCCCUAGCCCAGAGAUCAGUUUUACUGACUCUCUGACUUUACCAACAUCCUGUGUUUGGGGACUUCACUUCCUUGCUUAAUCCAUUCUAUAGUGCUCAAUUUAUGUCUUCUGUUGUGAAUUGGAUCUGGACAGUUAGCAUGUAUUGUAUAGCCCAGCUACCAGUUUUACCGGACAUUUAGCAUUUUUAGUCCUCAACUGCCCUUUCACUUAAUUUCAUUUCAAAGACUUUGUAACUUUGUGGCCAGAGAUAUGAAAAGAGGGACGUUCCGGUCCCAGUCUGUCACCACGUCUUCUUAUCACAGACUGAAAUGUAUUGUAUUAUAUCCUGUCUUAGAGUUGCUCUAACCUUUACCAACCUUUCCUUUGGACAUUUUUAGUUUUGACUUUGCGGACUCUGUAUUGUUGGUGCUCUGCAGAGCGUGUAAUAUAUGUGUUGAUAUUCCCUGAUCCCCACAGCGGACCAGAACAGAGGAAAGUGCUGUCCUCUGACUUUGGGAGUGCUGACAUCUUCAUAUUCCUGCCCACCCUGCCACCCGCUCCCUCCUAGAUACCGCUGAUUGAUGUUCGUCUGCCUGGCCGACUAUCGUCCGCUUUCCUUCAUGAAUACAGACGUGAAUCACAGGGAUUAGCAUUCAGCUCUUCUUCUCUCGCCCCGCCUCCGGCCGCCUCUUCCUCAGUGGUCUCUCAGCUCCAUACACACGUCUGGCAGUUUCGCUGACGUGGGGGGUCUGUGAUGAGUGGCUGGGGGCCCCGGCAGAGGGAGCCCUGUCGGACGCUACCUCACUCACUGCCACUUUGGAAAGCCCUCGUCUCACUGAAUAUUUCAUGGUGUGAUUUGGGAUGUAAAUUAAAGAUGUAUUCCAGGUGGGUUUGACUGGACUGAGUCUUAUUCUCUGUGACUGCUGGGGAGAGUGGGUGUUCUAAGGCUGCCCUUCACCCUGGCAGUCUCGUAGGUACGCAAGGUUGGAGUGACGGAGUCUUUUCUGGGUCUUGUUGUUCUGCUUUUUCACAGUGAAAUUGAGAUGAAUAGAAACUCAGAAUGGAUGAAGUGAGAGAAAGAAAGAAUUUGAGUGUUAGUGUCUAUGUGUGUGUGUGUGUGUUGAUUUACUGUAGGCUGUGUGUGUGUGUGUGUGUGUGCCAAUGAGAGACUUCUAAAUUUGUAGUGCCUGCAUCCCACCCUCUUAGAGGUGGCUGUUUUCUCUGCCAGCAUGGAGUAACCUCAAAGAGUGUAAUAUUACUUCAUCAGCAGCAUGGGCUCUUUAUGGAAGGCCACAGGCUCCCUGCGGUGCGACACACACUGACGGCUCAGACAAUCAGUAAUGUUACAUAAGCAUCCUGGAGUGGAAGCAGCCGUUCUGAACUAGAUUAUCUCCUCCGCUGGGUUGUAGUGUGUUGCUGUCCUCUCUCACCAGAUGACCCUGAGUCUAGCACAACACCAGCCCAGCACGGGAUAUGUUCAUGUUGUAAUACAUUUGUCUCAUAACUGAUCCAAACACUAAUUGAAAUUGACUGAUCAUGUUUAUGCUUCGAGUAGUCUGCAUGAUGCAUCUGUGGGAUAACAGAGUGGACUUUGUAAAAGGAAAACGCUUAGCCAUUGUGCUCCUGUCUAGAACAGAUUUGUCCUCCUCUCUCUGCCUGGGCUGUAUCACGGUGAGGAAUGUCUUCCAGGGAACCCACAGACAAUUUAUAACCUCCAAAGGCCACCCUUUCCUCACUAGAAUAGCCUGAAUGGCUUAUACUUCAACAUUAUGAGGGUGAAUAGGAGAAAAGUACAUUUAUAUAUGUGAGUCGACAUGUCUGGAGAAUGUAUGAAUAUACAAUUCAUCUCGCUGUCGUUUUAUUCGCUGCGUUGUUUUAAAAGGUCAGCAGUCUCAAAGUGCUCCA